AAGUCGUAACAAGGUCUCCGUUGGUGAACCAGCGGAGGGAUCAUUACAAGAAGCCGAAAGGCUACUUAAAACCAUCGCGAACUUAUCCAAGUUGCUUCGGCGGCGCGGCUCCCCUCACGGGGGACUGCAGCCCCGCCUCUCAGGAGGUAUGGGGCACCCGCCGGAGGUACGAAACUCUGUAUUAUAGUGGCAUCUCUGAGUAUAACACAAAUAAGUUAAAACUUUCAGCAACGGAUCUCUUGGCUCUC
rnacentral:misc_RNA from 1 species